rnacentral:rRNA from 1 species
UACGGAGGGGGCUAGCGUUGUUCGGAAUUACUGGGCGUAAAGCGCGCGUAGGCGGCUUUGUAAGUUAGAGGUGAAAGCCCGGGGCUCAACCCCGGAAUUGCCUUUAAGACUGCAUCGCUUGAACGUCGGAGAGGUGAGUGGAAUUCCGAGUGUAGAGGUGAAAUUCGUAGAUAUUCGGAAGAACACCAGUGGCGAAGGCGGCUCACUGGACGACUGUUGACGCUGAGGUACGAAAGCGUGGGGAGCAAACAGG